GGGAAUUAGGGUUCGAUUCCGGAGAGGGAGCCUGAGAAACGGCUACCACAUCUAAGGAAGGCAGCAGGCGCGCAAAUUACCCAAUCCUAAUACAGGGAGGUAGUGACAAGAAAUAACAAUACAGAGCCUUACGGUUUUGUAAUUGGAAUGAGUUAAGUAUAAACCCCUUAACAAGUAUCAAUUGGAGGGCAAGUCUGGUGCCAGCAGCCGCGGUAAUUCCAGCUCCAAUAGCGUAUAUUAAAGUUGUUGCAGUUAAAAAGCUCGUAGUUAAUUUUCUGUUAAUUUUUAUAUACAAUGCUACGGUAUUUAUAUAAUAUUAACAUAAUUCAUAUUACUUUUUAGUAUAUGAAACUUUACUUUGAGAAAAUUAGAGUGCUUAAAGCAGGCUAUUGCCUUGAAUACUCCAGCAUGGAAUAAUAUUAAGGAUUUUUAUUCUUCUUAUUGGUUCUAGAAUAAAAAUAAUG
rnacentral:rRNA from 1 species